rnacentral:rRNA from 1 species
UACAGAGGUCUCAAGCGUUGUCCGGAUUUACUGGGCGUAAAGGGCGUGCAGGCGGUCUGUUAAGUUCAGGGUGAAAGCUCCCGGCUCAACUGGGAGAGGUCCUUGGAUACUGGCAGACUUGAGGGAGGUAGAGGAGAGUGGAAUUCCCGGUGUAGUGGUGAUAUGCGUAGAUAUCGGGAGGAACACCAGUGGCGAAGGCGGCUCUCUGGGCCUUUCCUGACGCUGAGACGCGAAAGCGUGGGUAGCAAACAGG